CCUACGGGAGGCAGCAGUAGGGAAUAUUGCUCAAUGGGGGAAACCCUGAUGCAGCAACGCCGCGUGGAGGAUGAAGGUUUUCGGUUUGUAAACCCCUUUUGUCAGAGAAGAAAAUGACGGUAUCUAACGAAUAAGCACCGGCUAACUCCGUGCCAGCAGCCGCGGUAAUACGGGGGUGGAAGCGUUACUCGGAAUCUCUGGGGGUAAAGGGCGCGGAGGCGGGGUAGCAAGUCAGAUGUGAAAUCCUAUGGCUUAACCAUAGGACUGCAUUUGAAACUGUUAUACUAGAGUUUGGGAGAGGUAGGUGGAAUUCUUGGUGUAGCGGUGAAAUCCGUAGAGAUCAAGAGGAAUACUCAUUGCGAAGGCGACCUGCUAGAACAUAACUGACGCUGAUGCGCGAAAGCGUGGGGAGCAAACAGGAUUAGAUACCCGGGUAGUC
rnacentral:rRNA from 1 species